rnacentral:rRNA from 1 species
CUCCGGUUGAUCCUGCCGGACCUGACUGCUAUCGGAUUGGUACUAAGCCAUGCGAGUCAUUGUAGCAAUACAAGGCGGACGGCUCAGUAACACGUAGUCAACCUAACUCGUGGACGUGGAUAACCUCGGGAAACUGAGAAUAAACCACGAUAGAUCAUAGUGCCUGGAAUGGCUUAUGGUCCAAACAGUUUACUGCCAUGGGAUGGGACUGCGGCCUAUCAGCUUGUUGGUGAGGUAAUGGCCCACCAAGGCUAUAACAGGUACGGGCUCUGAGAGGAGAAGCCCGGAGAUGGGUACUGAGACACGGACCCAGGCCCUAUGGGGCGCAGCAGGCGAGAAACCUUAGCAAUGUGCGAAAGCACGACUAGGUUAAUCCGAGUGAUUUCUGUUGAAGAAAUCUUUUGUCAGUCGUAAAACCACAGACGAAUAAGGGGUGGGCAAGUCUGGUGUCAGCCGCCGCGGUAAUACCAGCACCUCGAGUGGUCAGGAGGUUUAUUGGGCCUAAAGCAUCCGUAGCCGGCUACGCAAGUCUCCGGUUAAAUCCAGCUGCUCAACAGAUGGGCUGCCGGAGAUACUACAUAGCUAGGGAGCGGGAGAGGUAGACGGUAUUCUGUGGGUAGGGGUAAAAUCCACUGAUCCAUAGAGGACCACCAGUGGCGAAGGCGGUCUACCAGAACGCGUUCGACGGUGAGGGAUGAAAGCUGGGGGAGCAAACCGGAUUAGAUACCCGGGUAGUCCCAGCUGUAAACGAUGCAAACUCGGUGAUGCAUUGGCUUAUGGCCAAUGCAGUGCCGCAGGGAAGCCGUUAAGUUUGCCGCCUGGGAAGUAUGGACGCAAGUCUGAAACUUAAAGGAAUUGGCGGGGGAGCA